rnacentral:sRNA from 1 species
AUGCCUGACAUAUAGUAAGUGCUAAAUAAAUAUUUGUUGCCUGCCUAAGAUACUCAUUCAAAAGUCAUAGAACUAGUCUGUCCCUUUGAUGUUGUUUCAAUCUAUAGGAGGAGCUAGAAACCCUACAGAGCAUCAAUAAGAAGUUGGAACUGAAAGUGAAAGAACAGAAGGACUAUUGGGAGACAGAGCUGCUUCAACUGAAAGAACAAAACCAGAAGAUGUCCUCAGAAAAUGAGAAGAUGGGAAUCAGAGUGGAUCAGCUUCAGGUAGGUAAUGCCAUAUGUUUGUCAAAGGAUAUUUUCUUAGCCUUACCACUGCUCCAAUUUGGUGGCCUAG